GCUCCCGGAAGCUCUGUCAGCAGCCAAGACUGGGAACAGACUAGAUCUCCAGCAGGUGAUGGUGGAUAAUAAACCAGCUCAUCUUCCCGACACGGAACACUAGACAAUGGAAAAGAAGGAAGCACUGGGCAAGGGCAAGGCACCGUGGACCUGGGACACGAACCGUUGAGUGAAGACGCUCACACUGCGCGACUCCGAGUGUGCGCAGCUACACGCAGGCGGGACUGAUCUCCGGCAACAACGUGCGCGACUUCGAGGGGCUUCGAGACGCGCCCGGGGCUUUGACUGAGCCGAGAAACCGUCCAUGAAACCAAACAUCCGUCAAGCUGUACAGUUAAAGUGUGUGUACUUUACACCUCCGUGAAAAAGUGAGAAAUGUUCCUGUGUGGAAUCCCUGAGCAUUUAGAGUUCCUUUCCUGCGGCGCGUGGAGGUGAGCCUCAGAAGUCACCCGGGAGGUGCCGUCGCUGCUUCUGAGCGGGUCAGCGUUCUCUCCGAGGCCGCGCCUCACUUCAGAAACGCCCCGGGCCUGAGAACAGGUAUCUGGAUUCCAGGCCCGUGUCUGCUGCUGUUUGUCCUGAGAAUUAUCCUCGAAGACGCCAUUUCCACGUCGCAGAGUCGGGUGUGCAAACGCCGUGAGUGCCGUCCGCGGGCCGGGCGUGACGCUGUCUCCUCGCCCCUCCCUUCUCCUAAGGCUGGCGCAGCACACGUCAAUGUGAGCGCGUCGCCUCGGAGAGCACAGCGACCUCCAGACUUUGGACGAUGGCCCCAAGUGAGCCAAACGUUUUACACCAUGACCCUGUGUGUACGUCCAUGUGGUCGACAGACAGAAAUUCCUUGAAGCGGUACUUACCCUCGGCUGUUGUCCGAUCCAUCCUAGCUGUUGGAAACAGCAGUUAUUUAUCCACGUAAAGACCCGUGGGCAACAAUCCACAGCGUGGAAGACGCUGGACUAGCCCUCAAAGAACCCAGCAGAUUAACCAGACGGGAUCUACGAACACACGUCACCUGGUACUUUGUAGUAUGUGUUUACUGAUGGUCUCUACCGUGGGCAGCACAUUGCACUGAGAGCAGAACUCCGUAUCUGUCGUGCUCACCGACCCGUUGAUGGGAGCCUGGUGGUCUCAGGACCCACGUGACGUACCCAUGCACACGGCAGCACGUUCCAACAUUCCUUGGCGCCGAUCAAAACCUUUGGAGGACCUUCCCCUUUGGAAAAAAUUACUGGUUUCUAUUUUUGUUCAACAUGAUAUAAAGAGCCACAAAUUAAGUAUUGCACUUCGAAAAAAAUAUAAACAACCCAGGGGAGUGAGGGCGCCGCUGCUGUGAUUUCAGUGAAGUCAGCACGUGUGUUCUUCUCUUAGAACUUUCGACGUAUACACCAAGUACUCAUGCAUCCCAAGACACGUUCCCCAAGCAUUUAUUCUUCAAUCUGAGUACCAUUGGGACAGCAUUCCUGUUCCUUGAAAACAUAGCAAAAUUUCUGUAGUGCAUUAAAUUAUAUGAAGUGUCAGUACAUAUUUGUUGGUCAGAUUUCAAGUAGGAAAUCGAACUUGGGAAAAGGGGAACGCUUGGCAUCGGAUAUCAGAUCACAUAAAAACAUUACCAGAGUACAUGGAUUCCUGCAGGGAGAAUGUGUCUCUGUGGCCCAUUUGAAGUAACGAUUCGAUUUAAUAAAUAAAGGA